rnacentral:rRNA from 1 species
AGCGAACACUGGCGGCAUGCUUAACACAUGCAAGUCGCACGGUCAGCAAUGGCAGUGGCGGACGGGUGAGUAACGCGUAGGUAUCUAUCCGUCGGGUGGGGGACAACCNCGGGGAAACUGUGGCUAAUACCGCAUGAUGACUGAGGUCUAAAGGCGCAAGUCGCCUGAGGAGGAGCCUGCGUCCGAUUAGCUAGUUGGUGGGGUAAAGGCCUACCAAGCCUGCGAUCAGUAGCUGGUCUGAGAGGAUGAUCAGCCACACUGGGACUGAGACACGGCCCAGACUCCUACGGGAGGCAGCAGUGGGGAAUAUUGGACAAUGGGCGCAAGCCUGAUCCAGCAAUGCCGCGUGGGUGAAGAAGGUCUUCGGAUUGUAAAGCCCUUUUGGCGGGGACGAUGAUGACGGUACCCGCAGAAUAAGCUCCGGCUAACUUCGUG